AAAAAAUAUAGUUGAUAUAUUUUAUUGAAAUCACCCGUUUGAUUAAAUUAACAUAUAAUUUAAUGUACAAACUCGACCGAUUCUAAACCUCGAAUUAAAUUACUGGAUUUAUUGUUUUGUAUCAACAACCAAGAACUGCCGUGGGCUUUACAAAUGAAAAUGAGAGCAAUGAAAGGCAGGCAAACAAUUUAAAGACUUCCAAUUCCUUGACAAAUUUUAAAUCAUAGUUUUAAGAAGAAAAUCAUAAUAGAUAACUUUCUCUUUUAUAUAUAAAAUUAAGAAAGGCUCGAACUAGCUGAUCAGAUCCUUCAAGACUAGGACAUGAAGAACAGUUGAGCUACAACAUUCAAUGAGCAAGUAAA